GUCCACGCCGUAAACUAUGGAUGCUAGUUUUACCCAUAUCGACCUGGGUAGAAACGAAGUUAACGCGUUAAGCAUCCCGCCUGGGGAGUACGGUCGCAAGAUUAAAACUCAAAGGAAUUGACGGGGACCCGCACAAGCGGUGGAGCGUGUUGUUUAAUUCGAGGGUAAGCGAAGAACCUUACCAAGGCUUGACUUCCUGCGAAGGCUUCCGAAAGGAAACUGUGCCUUUAUUGGAACGCAGUGACAGGUGCUGCAUGGCCGUCGU
rnacentral:rRNA from 1 species